UACGGAGGGUGCAAGCGUUAUCCGGAUUUACUGGGUUUAAAGGGUGCGUAGGUGGGUCUGUAAGUCAGUGGUGAAAUCUCCGAGCUUAACUCGGAAACUGCCAUUGAUACUAUAGAUCUUGAAUAUCCUGGAGGUGAGCGGAAUAUGUCAUGUAGCGGUGAAAUGCUUAGAUAUGACAUAGAACACCAAUUGCGAAGGCAGCUCACUACACAAUCAUUGACGCUGAGGCACGAAAGCGUGGGGAUCAAACAGG
rnacentral:rRNA from 1 species